rnacentral:ncRNA from 1 species
CUUCGCGUCGCAAAAAGGCCUUUAAAGAACCUGGGAAAGAACCGGACCAAACCCCACCCCACCCCGUCUUGACCUGCAUCACUCGCGCGAGUGAACUCGGGCAACUGGGCUGGAUUCGGGCCGGGUUCGCUGGCAUAUGCUCGCCGCGACAACACCACAGAACGUGACGGCCCCCGGCGAGACGCCAAUCUCCACCGAGGGCCUGACCAACACGGAAGAAGCAGACUUCCUG